AUGCCUCCUCUUGCAUCUCCGUGGUUGUCGUCGUCCUGCAGCCUUGGGCUAGCCUCCUCGUGCAUCAUUGUGGUAGCCAUCGUCCAGCCGCCUCGUGCUCGCCGCACAACAGCCUUCGUCGGCGGCUUGGGCCUGAGUCCAGUGGGAACUGAAGGAGAGCCGCGGGGAGGACCUGACUUCGAUCUGCGCGGAUGUCGUGGAAGAAGCGGCUUCGUCCCCAAGGUCCAAGGAGGUCGCGGAGAGCAUCAGGGCUGUGUGGGAAGGGGGGCUGGGGCGCCGAGAUCGAACGUCGUGCUCUCCCUCUCGCUCUUUGGCAAUCACGGCUAG
rnacentral:rRNA from 1 species